rnacentral:rRNA from 1 species
GAAGGCAUUGCGGCGUGCUUACCAUGCAGUCGAACGGUGAAGCUCCAGCUUGCUGGAGUGGAUCAGUGGCGAACGGGUGAGUAACACGUGAGCAACCUGCCCCUGACUCUGGGAUAACAGCCGGAAACGGCUGCUAAUACCGGAUAUGCACCAUGAACGCAUGUUCUGUGGUGGGAAAGAUUUUUCGGUUGGGGAUGGGCUCGCGGCCUAUCAGCUUGUUGGUGAGGUAAUGGCUCACCAAGGCGUCGACGGGUAGCCGGCCUGAGAGGGUGACCGGCCACACUGGGACUGAGACACGGCCCAGACUCCUACGGGAGGCAGCAGUGGGGAAUAUUGCACAAUGGGCGAAAGCCUGAUGCAGCAACGCCGCGUGAGGGAUGACGGCCUUCGGGUUGUAAACCUCUUUUAGCAGGGAAGAAGCGAGAGUGACGGUACCUGCAGAAAAAGCGCCGGCUAACUACGUGCCAGCAGCCGCGGUAAUACGUAGGGCGCAAGCGUUAUCCGGAAUUAUUGGGCGUAAAGAGCUCGUAGGCGGUUUGUCGCGUCUGCUGUGAAAACUGGAGGCUCAACCUCCAGCCUGCAGUGGGUACGGGCAGACUAGAGUGCGGUAGGGGAGAUUGGAAUUCCUGGUGUAGCGGUG